GGAUAUGAUCAUACAAGCACUAACGAAACGGAUUGCAUCAGAACUUUGAAGUUAAGCGUUCUUGGGUGUGAGUAGUACUAGGAUGGCUGACCCCAUGGGAACUCCUCGAGUUGCAUCCC
rnacentral:rRNA from 1 species